rnacentral:lncRNA from 1 species
AGGUUCAUAGGCAGAAAAGACUUGCCUUGUCUUGGAUGAAACUUUGGACUGUGGACUUUUGAGUUAAUGCUGAAAUAAGACUUUGGAGGACUACUGGGAAGGCUUGAUGGCUUUUGAAAUGUGGGGACAUGAGAUUUGGGAGGGACCAGGGUCACAAUGAUACAGUUUGGCUGUGUCCCCACCCAAAUCUCAUCUUGAAUUGUAGCUCCCAUAAUUCCCACAUAUUGUGGGAGGGACCCAGUGGGAGAUAAUUGAGUCAUGGGGGCAGUUUCCCCCAUACUGUUCUCAUGGUAGUGAAUGAGUCUUACAAGAUCUGAUGGUUUUAUAAGGAGAAACCCCUUUCACUUGGUUCUCAUUCUCUCUUGUCUGCUGCCAUGUAAGACAUGCCUUUUGCCUUCUGCCAUGAUUGUGAGACCUCCCCACCCAUGUGGAACUAUGAGUCCAU